rnacentral:rRNA from 1 species
AUUUGAUAGUACCUUACUACUUGGAUAACCGUGGUAAUUCUAGAGCUAAUACAUGCUAAAAACCCCAACUUCGGGAGGGGUGUAUUUAUUAGAUAAAAAACCAAUGCCCUUCGGGGCUCCUUGGUGAUUCAUAAUAACUUCUCAGAUCGCAUGGCCUUGCGCCGGCGACGGUUCAUUCAAAUUUCUGCCCUAUCAACUUUCGAUGGUAAGGUAUUGGCUUACCAUGGUUUCAACGGGUAACGGGGAAUUAGGGUUCGAUUCCGGAGAGGGAGCCUGAGAAACGGCUACCACAUCCAAGGAAGGCAGCAGGCGCGCAAAUUACCCAAUCCCGACACGGGGAGGUAGUGACAAUAAAUACUGAUACAGGGCUCUUUAGGGUCUUGUAAUUGGAAUGAGUACAAUUUAAACCUCUUAACGAGGAACAAUUGGAGGGCAAGUCUGGUGCCAGCAGCCGCGGUAAUUCCAGCUCCAAUAGCGUAUAUUAAAGUUGUUGCAGUUAAAAAGCUCGUAGUUGAACCUUUGGCCUGGCUGGCGGGUCCGCCUCACCGCGUGCACUCGUCCGGCCGGGCCUUUUCUUCUGGAGAACCGCAUGCCCUUCACUGGGUGUGUUGGGGACCAGGACUUUUACUUUGAAAAAAUUAGAGUGUUCAAAGCAGGCCUUUGCUCGAAUACGUUAGCAUGGAAUAAUAGAAUAGGACGUGCGGUCCUAUUUUGUUGGUUUCUAGGACCGCCGUAAUGAUUAAUAGGGACAGUCGGGGGCAUCAGUAUUCAAUUGUCAGAGGUGAAAUUCUUGGAUUUAUUGAAGACUAACUACUGCGAAAGCAUUUGCCAAGGAUGUUUUCAUUAAUCAGUGAACGAAAGUUAGGGGAUCGAAGACGAUCAGAUACCGUCGUAGUCUUAACCAUAAACUAUGCCGACUAGGGAUCGGGCGGUGUUACUAUUUUGACCCGCUCGGCACCUUACGAGAAAUCAAAGUGUUUGGG